CCUCUGCUGUCCCUCAUAGGGCACAAAGGGUUAAGAACUCAGUGACUAAAAAAAAUCUCUACCACGGAGAAACAAGAAAAAUAAUCACCACAUCCUGAUGCACUUGAAGGACAGAUUGCUUAUGACAGGAUUGCAAUUUGGUCUCUAAGUGGGAGACAUGAUUGCAGUCAUCAUCAAUAUUACUGCCAGCUAAAUCUACAAGGGACACGAUCAGAAUCUGAGGUACUUGAGACUAUGGAGUAUUUUUGUCUACUUUAUCCUCAAUGCCUAUUUACUACAAUGCCUGGGCUAUAUCCCAAAGAGAUCACACAAAAGGGGAAAGGAUCU